rnacentral:rRNA from 1 species
UGGGGAAUCUUGCACAAUGGGCGAAAGCCUGAUGCAGCGACGCCGCGUGCGGGAUGAAGGCCUUCGGGUUGUAAACCGCUUUCAGCAGGGACGAGGCCGCAAGGUGACGGUACCUGCAGAAGAAGCCCCGGCUAACUACGUGCCAGCAGCCGCGGUAAUACGUAGGGGGCAAGCGUUAUCCGGAUUCAUUGGGCGUAAAGCGCGCGUAGGCGGUUUGUUAGGUCAGGAGUUAAAUCUGGGGGCUCAACCCCUAUCCGCUCCUGAUACCGGCAGGCUUGAGUCUGGUAGGGGAAGGCGGAAUUCCAAGUGUAGCGGUGAAAUGCGCAGAUAUUAAAAAGAAUACCGGUGGCGAAGGCGACUUACUGGGCUCAUUCUGACGCUGAGGAACGAAAGCGUGGGUAGCAAACAGG